rnacentral:rRNA from 1 species
AUUGAACGCUGGCGGCAUGCCUUACACAUGCAAGUCGAACGGCAGCACGGGUGCUUGCACCUGGUGGCGAGUGGCGAACGGGUGAGUAAUACAUCGGAACGUACCUUAUCGUGAGGGAUAACGCAGCGAAAGCUGUGCUAAUACCGCAUCCGCCCUGAGGGGGAAAGCGGGGGAUCGCAAGACCUCGCGCGAUUAGAGCGGCCGAUGCCUGAUUAGCUAGUUGGUGGGGUAAAAGCCCACCAAGGCGACGAUCAGUAGCUGGUCUGAGAGGACGAUCAGCCACACUGGGACUGAGACACGGCCCAGACUCCUACGGGAGGCGGCAGUGGGGAAUUUUGGACAAUGGGGGCAACCCUGAUCCAGCAAUGCCGCGUGAGUGAAGAAGGCCUUCGGGUUGUAAAGCUCUUUUGUCAGGGAAGAAACACCGGCUCUAACACAGUCCGGGAAUGACGGUACCUGAAGAAUAAGCACCGGCUAACUACGUGCCAGCCGCCGCAGUAA